AUGAACGCUGGCGGCGUGCUUAACACAUGCAAGUCGAACGGUGAAAGAGAGCUUGCUCUCUGGAUCAGUGGCGAACGGGUGAGUAACACGUGAGCAAUCUGCCCCUGACUCUGGGAUAAGCGCUGGAAACGGCGUCUAAUACCGGAUACGAGCUGCGAAGGCAUCUUCAGCAGCUGGAAAGAACUUCGGUCAGGGAUGAGCUCGCGGCCUAUCAGCUAGUUGGUGAGGUAAUGGCUCACCAAGGCGUCGACGGGUAGCCGGCCUGAGAGGGUGACCGGCCACACUGGGACUGAGACACGGCCCAGACUCCUACGGGAGGCAGCAGUGGGGAAUAUUGCACAAUGGGCGCAAGCCUGAUGCAGCAACGCCGCGUGAGGGACGACGGCCUUCGGGUUGUAAACCUCUUUUAGCAGGGAAGAAGCGAAAGUGACGGUACCUGCAGAAAAAGCA
rnacentral:rRNA from 1 species